rnacentral:tRNA from 1 species
UCCGGUUUAGCUCAACGGCAGAGCUACCGCCUGUUAAGCGGAACGAUGCAGGUUCGAAUCCUGCGGCCGGAGCCA